rnacentral:rRNA from 1 species
CUUGGUCAUUUAGAGGAAGUAAAAGUCGUAACAAGGUUUCCGUAGGUGAACCUGCGGAAGGAUCAUUAACGAAUUGUAAUGGGGGUUGAUGCUGGCAAGCUACCUCUGGCUGCAUGUGCUCGCCUCCAACAAUCUUUAUCCACACACCUGUGCAUCUCCUGAGGGGUUUUCGAUUAGGGACUACCAAUCUGGUGGUCUUUCUUAGAUUUCCCUCUUUAUAUACACUAAUUCUAAUGUUGAACGUGCUCGUGCCGAUAUGGCCGUUAAUAAUAUACAACUUUUAACAACGGAUCUCUUGGCUCUCGCAUCGAUGAAGAACGCAGCGAAAUGCGAUAAGUAAUGUGAAUUGCAGAAUUCAGUGAAUCAUCGAAUCUUUGAACGCACCUUGCGCUCCCUGGUAUUCCGGGGAGCACGCCUGUUCGAGUGUCGCGAAAUUCUCAAGCCGUAGAUGCUUUUUUAUAAAGUGUUCUCUCAGCUUGGUUAUUGGGCUUUGCCGUGUCCUUUUGGGACGGCUGGCCUUAAAUGUAUUAGCUGAUCCUUAUGAUGGCAUUGGUUCUACUCAGCGUGAUAAUAAUCUGACCGCUGAGGACAUCUUUCGGGGUGGCCAGUUCUCAUUUGGAUUGCUCUCUAAUCUGGUCUAUGGAUUGCUAAUAACGAUCCGUUCCAUUUUCAAUUUGACCUCGAAUCAGGUGGGACUACCCGCUGAACUUAAGCAUAUCAAUAAGCGGAGGAAAAGAAACUAACAAGGAUUCCCCUAGUAACGGCGAGUGAAGAGGGAAAAGCACAAAUUUAAAAUCUGGCAGUCUUCGAUUGUCCGAGUUGUAAUCUAGAGAAGUGUUUUCCGUGCUGGACUGUGUACAAGUUUCCUGGAUACGGAACAUCAUAGAGGGUGAGAAUCCCGUCCUUGACACAGACUCCCAGUGCUUUGUGAUGCGCUCUCGACGAGUCGAGUUGUUUGGGAUUGCAGCUCAAAAUGGGAGGUAAAUUCCUUCUAAAGCUAAAUAUUGGCGAGAGACCGAUAGCGAACAAGUACCGUGAGGGAAAGAUGAAAAGCACUUUGGAAAGAGAGUUAAACAGUACGUGAAAUUGUUAAAAGGGAAACGCUUGAAGUCAGUCACGUCUGCUUGGACUCAGCCUCACUUCGGUUUGGUGCAUUUCCUUGCAGACGGGCCAACGUCCAUGCUGUUCGUCGGAGAAGGGGUGAAAGAAUGUGGCUCCUCCGAGAGUGUUAUAGCUUUCAUUCGUAUACGGGGAACGAUAUGGAGUGGUACAGCAUGCUUCGGUGGUGCUUGUGUUGGCAUAAUGGCUUUAAACGACCCGUCUUGAAACACGGACC